UCCUAUGGGCAAAUCUCCCCAAAAUGCGCCUGAUCUCCGCAGAUCUCGGAAGCUGAGCGGCGUUGAGCCUGGAUGGUACUUGGACGGGUGACCACCAAUGCAUGCCAUAUUGUCGUAACUU
rnacentral:rRNA from 1 species